rnacentral:rRNA from 1 species
GACGAACGCUGGCGGCGUGCCUAAUACAUGCAAGUCGAGCGCAGGAAACUGACGGAACUCUUCGGAGGGAAGGCAGUGGAAUGAGCGGCGGACGGGUGAGUAACACGUAAGGAACCUGCCUCAAGGAUUGGGAUAACUCCGAGAAAUCGGAGCUAAUACCGGAUAGUUCAUCGGACCGCAUGGUCCGUUGAUGAAAGGCGCUUCGGCGUCACCUUGAGAUGGCCUUGCGGUGCAUUAGCUAGUUGGUGGGGUAACGGCCCACCAAGGCGACGAUGCAUAGCCGGCCUGAGAGGGUGAUCGGCCACACUGGGACUGAGACACGGCCCAGACUCCUACGGGAGGCAGCAGUAGGGAAUCUUCCACAAUGGACGAAAGUCUGAUGGAGCAACGCCGCGUGAGUGAUGAAGGUUUUCGGAUCGUAAAACUCUGUUGUAAGGGAAGAACACGUACGAGAGGGAAUGCUCGUACCUUGACGGUACCUUACGAGAAAGCCACGGCUAACUACGUGCCAGCCGCCGCAGUAAUAC